rnacentral:rRNA from 1 species
UACGGAGGGGGCUAGCGUUGUUCGGAAUUACUGGGCGUAAAGCGUACGUAGGCGGCUUUGUAAGUUAGAGGUGAAAGCCCGGAGCUCAACUCCGGAAUUGCCUUUAAGACUGCAUCGCUUGAAUCAUGGAGAGGUUAGUGGAAUUCCGAGUGUAGAGGUGAAAUUCGUAGAUAUUCGGAAGAACACCAGCGGCGAAGGCGACUAACUGGACAUGUAUUGACGCUGAGGUACGAAAGCGUGGGGAGCAAACAGG